GAUGAGUUCCUGUGCUCGAAAGUAAAAUAUCGUUUGGGAAACCUUUUCAAAUUGAGCGCUUUUAUUGGAGACUGCCGUAAAAUCGAACUCUUUUCGUAAUGUUUACGUUUAGAAAAAGAGAAAUAUGAGUGUGAUGGACCAAAUUCUACGGCUUAGAACCUUGACAGGACUAAACUAGGAUAAAUGAGGAUCAUGGCAUACUAAAACAAUUUUCACCACAAGCCGAAACGAGUGCCCACAGGGUAUGGUGAAAGUUGAGGAGAGCGGAGGUUGAAUUGUGAGGACGAAAGUGCGAGUCAAGGCCCAACGUCUAUACAACAGGGAAAAAUCGCCGAAGAAUAGACACCACAGCGAUCAGGGAAAACACCCGACUCCAGAAUGUAGUCACAGCCAACCGACUAAACAAGAAAAACAACAAUAGUUAGCUUAAAAGUUAAAAGGUAUGUAUAAAAUUAUUUCAAAGUAGGUUGCACUCAAGAAUUCAUGUGUCGUAGCCCGCAGUGCUAAUUUGGCGACAUCUAUAUAGGGGCUUUUCGCAAACUAUAUGGAUUCCAUUGGAAAAGCAAGACAAUGAUGUUGACGAACUUCUGUCAAUUGAGGUCCUAAAAGUUUCCUCGGUACCAGUUCCUUAAAACGAGUGAUGACAUAGUUACCUGGAUUUCUUCUUUUCUUUUGCAUUUUUAUAACAAACAUUUUAAGUGAUUAUAUUCACUUCUUUUAAGUUAAUCCUUUCAAUCUUGGAAUUCAGAAACAAGUGCUAAUUAGCUUAGACCCUUUGGUGUUUUUCGGGUUUCCUAUGGUUGACGAUGUGAAGUUAAUAAUCCCAACCAUCCUGAACAGAACGUUAGGGACUGGGCAGAGUCAUUAGACCACGUGACGUACCCGGCAUGCUCCAGCGAUGCAAACAUCUUUCCUUAGGGGGUCACUGCUACACCGCGUUCCGUCCGCCACGUUUCCGAAGAAAUAGAUGUAGUCCACCUGUCUGCAUACAAGCUUACAUGGGUCUAAAAUAACAAAAAAAAAACCGUUAUAUAUCAAUAGAAGUAUGAAUGAAAAUGUAAAUUUAGUGAGAAAGAGUAAAGCCUGGUGCAAGCAUGGCUAACAUUAGCCAAUAGACUGCCACUGAAAAACUUGGUUGACCACAAGACAAA